AGGGGGAGGUCGGAUCCUGGGCUGUGUCCCCGGCACCCUGUGCUCCCGGGCCUGUGCUGUUGGAUUCCUGCUCCCGGUCGGGCAGCCCCCU
rnacentral:pre_miRNA from 1 species